rnacentral:rRNA from 1 species
AUACGUAGGUGGCAAGCGUUGUCCGGAUUUACUGGGCGUAAAGGAUGCGUAGGCGGAUAUUUAAGUGAGAUGUGAAAUCCCUAAGCUUAACUUGGGAGCUGCAUUUCAAACUGGAUGUCUAGAGUGCAGGAGAGGAGAUUGGAAUUCCUAGUGUAGCGGUGAAAUGCGUAGAGAUUAGGAAGAACACCAGUGGCGAAGGCGAUUCUCUGGACUGUAACUGACGCUGAGGCAUGAAAGCGAGGGUAGCAAACAGGAUUAGAUACCCUGGUAGUCCACGCCGUAAACGAUGAGUACUAGGUGUAGAAGGGUCCAACCUUCUGUGCCGCAGUUAACACAAUAAGUACUCCGCCUGGGAAGUACGAUCGCAAGAUUAAA